GGGGUUGUAGCCCAGUGGUUAGAGCGUCGGACUCGCAACUUAAGGUCGGAGGUUCGAUUCCCGAUCCCA
rnacentral:tRNA from 1 species